UAAUAGCUAUGACAAAAAUCAUAAAGAAAUGUCACUACAAAUGACCUUGUAAAGAAAAAGCAUAUUUGCUUCACUGUAUCUUGCCAGAUAAAGUCACUGACUUCAAGAAAAUAUAGGAAUAGAAUUUACAGUGGUGGAUUAUAAACGAAGGAUAGCACCAUAUGGUGUUUGUAAUUCUAGCUCUUAUAAGAUUUAUGUGACUCUGGAUCCAAAAAAUUGUGAUUCAGAGUAAUGUGGCUUGGAGCAGGGACAGAAAACUGUGCUUGUCAUCAGCAAAUUACUCACUCCCUCAUAUACUGGCUUCACCAUCCACACAGAGAUACAGAAAGGAAAGAUAGUUAUUGAAGGAGUACAAUUGAAGACACUCUUCAUAUGGCAUCUUACCCAAGCUGCACAAUAAAUCUGGAAAGAGGAUAUUGUCACGGUUUCCCAGAUAACGAAUUAAAAUAAAGGAAGCGAAAUAGUUCAUCUAAAUUCACAUAGCUGGAGCAUGGCCAAAAAUAAAAUUUUGGUACAUUUGAAGUAAAAAUUCAUGAGUUUUCUAUUUGAUGCAGUCAUAAGGGCAGAUAUUAUUGUGACGAUUAAAUGAGGCCCUCCAAAAGACCUUGUAUAGGGUCUGACAUAUUUUAGAUGUUUCCAUGGAGAAUGACAUGCAACAUUUCAGCAAGAUAGUUUGAGUCAGAGUUGGUUUGAAUCCUAAUGCCAUAGUCUCUGAACUUUGUGACUUUGAGCAGUUUGCUUAACCUCUUGAACUUCUGUUUCUUCAUAUGUCAAAUGAGAAAAUCAAUCCAGGGAAAUUAAAAUUUAAAAAAAUUAAUAAAAAUUGAUGAGAGUAGCAGUGUCCAACCUAUCAGAACUAUUACCUUCAACUGAAGUCAAUUGGUCAUGUGUCCAAAAUUUAGAGUGAUUAUCUGGUGCUAUUCUAGCAUCAACUAUCUUUGGGUUUCUCUAUUACAUUUUACUAUUUUCAUCAUUUUAAGGUUGAUUAUGUGUUUCUUUUAAAUGUCUGUUAGAAAUACUAUAUAGUUUUUUAUAAUUUUUCUUGAUCCACAGACUUCAUAAGUGCCAUAAAGCUGGAAAAAAACCUGGAAGAGCCCAACAAACUAAAAGCAUACCAUGGCUGCUUCUUCUCUAUCAUCUCCCUUUGUCAUGCUGUUCUGCCUUGGAACCACUUGACUAUGGAUUGAAAUCUCUAGAAACUAUGAACCAAAAGAAACCUAUCCUCUUUUAAAUUGUAGUUGUCAGGUGUUGUAUCCCAAUGAUGAAAAAGUAAGACCAGCACCUGAUGCAAUAAAUAUAAAUGCAGAAA